rnacentral:rRNA from 1 species
ACACGUGGGGGGCUAGCGUUGUCCGGAAUUAUUGGGCGUAAAGAGCGCGUAGGCGGCCUUGCCAGUCAGCUGUGAAAUUCCUCGGCUUAACCGGGGGUGUGCAGUUGAAACUGCAGGGCUUGAGUGCAGAAGAGGAGGGUAGAAUUCCUGGUGUAGCGGUGAAAUGCGUAGAUAUCAGGAGGAAUACCGGUGGCGAAGGCGGCCUUCUGGUCUGCUACUGACGCUGAGGCGCGAAAGCUAGGGCAGCGAACAGGAUUAGAUACCCUGGUAGUCCUAGCCGUAAACGCUGGGUACUAGGUGUAGGGGGUUUAGAUACCUUCUGUGCCGCAGUUAACGCAUUAAGUACCCCGCCUGGGGAGUACGAUCGCAAGGUUGAA